rnacentral:rRNA from 1 species
AGAGUUUGAUCCUGGCUCAGGGCGAACGCUAGCGGCGCGCCUAACACAUGCAAGUCGUGCGGGAAAGGGCUUCGGCCCUAGUACCGCGGCAGACGGGUGAGUAACACGUGAGCAACCUGUCCCCGGGUCUGGGAUAACCACCCGAAAGGGUGGCUAAUACCGGAUAAAGUCACCGGGCGCAAGUUCGGUGAUGAAAGGGGGCCUCUGCAUAGCAAGCUCCUGCCUGGGGAGGGGCUCGCGGCCCAUCAGCUAGUUGGUGGGGUAACGGCCCACCAAGGCUAUGACGGGUAGCCGGCCUGAGAGGGUGGUCGGCCACACGGGCACUGAGACACGGGCCCGACUCCUACGGGAGGCAGCAGUGGGGAAUCUUGGGCAAUGGGCGAAAGCCUGACCCAGCGACGCCGCGUGGGGGAAGAAGGCCUUCGGGUCGUAAACCCCUGUUCUGGGGGAAGAACCCUGAACGGGUUAAUAGCCCGUUCAGGCUGACGGUACCCCAGGAGAAAGCCACGGCUAACUGCGUGCCAGCAGCCGCGGUAAUACGCAGGUGGCGAGCGUUGCCCGGAAUCACUGGGCGUAAAGGGUGCGUAGGCGGCAGGGCAAGUCGCGGGUUAAAGCCCGGGGCUCAACCCCGGAAAGGCCUGCGAUACUGCCUUGCUUGAGGGCCGGAGAGGCUGGCGGAAUUCCCGGUGUAGGGGUGAAAUCCGUAGAUAUCGGGAGGAACACCGGUGGGGAAGCCGGCCAGCUGGACGGUUCCUGACGCUGAGGCACGAAAGCGUGGGGAGCAAACCGGAUUAGAUACCCGGGUAGUCCACGCCGUAAACGAUGGGUGCUAGGUCUGGGGAGGAAACUCUCUGGGCCGAAGCUAACGCGUUAAGCACCCCGCCUGGGGAGUACGGCCGCAAGGCUGAAACUCAAAGGAAUUGACGGGGGCCCGCACAAGCGGUGGAGCACGUGGUUUAAUUCGAUGCAAAGCGAAGAACCUUACCUGGGCUUGACAUGCCAGGGUUGUACCCCGGUGGAAACACUGGGGGAGCGUGGGUUUUACUCACGCGCUCUGGCACAGGUGCUGCAUGGCUGUCGUCAGCUCGUGCCGUGAGGUGUUGGGUUAAGUCCCGCAACGAGCGCAACCC